rnacentral:antisense_RNA from 1 species
UUUUACUUGAGAAAUGUAAAAUAUUCG